rnacentral:rRNA from 1 species
UGGUGGGUAGUUUGACUGGGGCGGUCUCCUCCCAAAGCGUAACGGAGGAGCACGAAGGUUAGCUAAUCCUGGUCGGACAUCAGGAGGUUAGUGCAAUGGCAUAAGCUAGCUUGACUGCGAGCGUGACGGCGCGAGCAGGUGCGAAAGCAGGUCAUAGUGAUCCGGUGGUUCUGAAUGGAAGGGCCAUCGCUCAACGGAUAAAAGGUACUCCGGGGAUAACAGGCUGAUACCGCCCAAGAGUUCAUAUCGACGGCGGUGUUUGGCACCUCGAUGUCGGCUCAUCACAUCCUGGGGCUGAAGUAGGUCCCAAGGGUAUGGCUGUUCGCCAUUUAAAGUGGUACGCGAGCUGGGUUUAGAACGUCGUGAGACAGUUCGGUCCCUAUCUGCCGUGGGCGCUGGAGAAUUGAGGGGGGCUGCUCCUAGUACGAGAGGACCGGAGUGGACGCAUCACUGGUGUUCGGGUUGUCAUGCCAAUGGCA